UACCGGCGGCUCGAGUGGUGGCCACGAUUACUGGGCUUAAAGCGUUCGUAGCUGGGUUGUUAAGUCUCUUGGGAAAUAUACAGGCUUAACCGAUAGGCGUCCAAGGGAUACUGGCAAUCUAGGGACCGGGAGAGGUGAGGGGUACUUCAGGGGUAGGAGUGAAAUCCUGUAAUCCUUGGGGGACCACCUGUGGCGUAGGCGCCUCACCAGAACGGCUCCGACAGUGAGGGACGAAAGCUGGGGGAGCAAACCGGAUUAGAUACCCUGGUAGUCCCUGAGCGGGCUGGCAA
rnacentral:rRNA from 1 species